ACCGACAGUAUCGUAAUUACGAUAUCUUUGUUACGUUCUGAUUGGCCCGUUUUUUGUUUACAAAAUACUUUUAUAUAACUUUUAUGUGAAACGUUUUUGCAUAGGAAAUUUAAUUAAAAAUUAACUUUUUUUGCUGCUUAGCAAAAAAAUGUUAGUCGGAAGAAGCAAAAGGGGAUGGCGUGGUGCCAGUAAGAUGGUAUCGAUAUGAUCUAGUCUCAAUUAAGUUAGUCGCAGAAGUGGUAACCAGCUAGAGGUCGUAACCUGCUCGUAUGAAAGGAUUUCUCGACGUGAAAUUGUAAGUUUUAUUCAACAACGCCAAGAAACAGAGCUCGCUCAAGAAACAGAAAAGAAAGAGAAAGAUGAAAAAAUAUUCUAUUGAAAAAUACUAUUGUUUUAUUUAUAAAUUAUUUUCCUAUAU